UGCAAAUUAACCCCUGCAUUUUGUAAAAAUUCCGCCCGCGCUCAGUUGUUAAUCUUAUCCAGAGAAGGUGGAAGGGGGGACAGCUUCGGCUGGGCUCUCGUCGGCGAGCUCGUCGGCCGUCCGGCUCUCCCCUCCACCUCCGACCCUCUCGGCCUCUCCUCCGCCUCCGGCGUCCCCGCCCCUCCCCCUGUAGGUGAGCUGGAGGAGGACCAUAGGUCAGGGAGUGUUUGGUUUCAGAGAGAUCGUUGGGGAGGAGUUCAUGACCAUGUUCCUGUCAGUUUUUAGCAGUAUGGUUCAGAGACUGGUUCCUAGGUAGGGGUUGAAGCUUGGGAAAGAAGACUAGAAGAGUCGGGUGAAUAUUGCAAAUCCCUCGACCAUUUUGGUAUGCACAUGUCUCCUCCAAAUUGCUUACCUAAAUAAGAAAAUUUUAGUGAAUGUAGGUGUAGUGAAGUAGCUUUGCAUUCUCAAAUAAUCAUUUAUUAAAUAUUUGUUGGGUUUGUGGAACCCAUUUAUUUUCCCAAAGAUCACAUGUGCCUGCUAAGUCUUGGGAUCCAUUUUUUUGUUCCUAUGGGACCAAUCCGUAGAAGAAUGCAUGCUCCCGGGCCAUAGAAGAAAUCAGCAGGUGGACAUAGUUGAGGGUCUGAGGCAACAAUAGUUCUUCGAAGGCACUGGGCAAUAAUUGAUUGGUCGAAGGUAGCGUUUUUUGUCGAGCUUCAAUUGACAGGGAAGAAACUGUUUCUAUAUGUGCCUUUGGUUUUCUUUCUCUUAUGGAGUUCGUACAGUUCUUUUUUCAGGGCAAGAGAUUCUUUAGCUAGAUAAGAAAGAGCACUCUGAUUAAUUAGAUCAGAAGUUGUUUUUUCCAUCGAGCUUCAGUUGACAGGGAAGAAAUUGUUUCUGUCUAUGCCUUUGGUUUUCUUUAACUUAGGGAGUUUGUAUAGUUUUUUUAGGGGAAGAGAUUCUUCAGCUAGAUGAGAAAGAGCACUCUGAUUAAUUAGAUCAGAAGUUGUGUGUGAUGAUAAUCGCUCGUGCAGACUACAAUACCACCAACCACCAGGUGAGGUCGUCAGUGAGGCGCCGUUAGUAGACAUGAGUAAAGCUUCUUGACCUAUACGUUUCAUGGUUUGGCAUAUUUGCUUCAUCGGAGUGCUUCAUGUACUUAUUCUGAUGAUUGAGAUCCUUAAUUUGCAUUGGUUUAUUUUUGCCGCAUCUCCUGCAAUACAUUAGUGAAAAGCUUAGCAGUGCUGAUUUCUAAACUUGAAGUUAUGGCUUGUUUAACCUCAUAAUAAUUUAGUUUUGGAGAGUGCAGAAAUCAUUUUGAGGAAACAGUGAACAAAAAAGUUGGGCAUCCUGGGUAAUCAGCUGGGAGAAGCCCAGAAAUUCUAACAGGAGUGGUGACAGUAGCAGCAACAUGCCUGAUACAAGGCCCCAGAAUAGUGAUUGGAGCAUUAAAGCCAUGGAUACACUCUUAUGUCAUAUAUACUUUUUAGUGUUCUUGAAAGUGCUUUGUUGGUUGUACAAGGAAUCGAUCUAACAACGUCAUUUCAUGAAGGAAGGGGUUGUACUUUCCUUACAGAGCAUAGCUCAUUAUGCAAGGCGUUCAUUAUUGCAACAUCUUGUCCAGGGCUAGCUCAUUCAUUAGGGGUUGCUCAGCUAUGCUUUUUUUUUCCUUUUUCUUUUUUAUUUCCUUAUUGGAUUAUAUGCUACUCGGUGUUGAAGGGUUUGUUCAUGCCAAAUUUAAGAAAUCUUGUGAUGUUACCAGAGAUUGCCCAUUUACUCAUUCGGCAUGGGAUGGUCAGGGUUUGUUUAUUUUUAUCAGCGGACUUCCGUUCAGAAAAUAACCCAAUAGCGCUCGCCUGUUCUCUUUACUUAUGUACCUACACAAUAGUGCUCUAUUAAUUUUGUUGUGCAAAUAAUCAGUCUUUGUGUUUAUGA